GAUGAACGCUGACAGCAUGCUUAACACAUGCAAGUCGACCUGUGGCGGACGGGCGAGUAACGCGUAAAGAACUUGCCUCACAGGUAGGGGGGACAUUUGGAAAAGAAUGCUAAUACCUAAUACUGUGAGAGAGCUUUGCGUCCCAUUAGCUAGUUGGAGAGGUAACGGCUCACCAAGGCGAUGAUGGGUAGCCGGCCUGAGAGGGUGAUCGGCCCCAAGGGGACUGAGGCACGGCCCGUACGGAUACGUGAGGCAGCAGUGGGGAAUAUUGGCCAAUGGACCAAAGUCUGAUGCAGCACUUCUGUGUGCACGAUGAAGUUUUCGGAAUGUAAAGUGCGUUCUGUUGGGAAGCGGUACCCGCAGAAGAAGUGACGGCUAAAUACGUGCCAGCCGCCGCGGUAAUAC
rnacentral:rRNA from 1 species